AUUUAUUCUGAUGAACUUGACUUCCUUCACCAUCUCCUAUUGAGUAAUAAAUAUUAUGUUAAGAAUUCAUGAAAAACAUUUCAGUUUUUUUCAUCCUGCCUUCUGAAGAUUUCUUGUUGGAUUUCAGAGACAUGCAAACUUGAAUGAACUCACUUGGUAACAGGAGCGAAUGCACAGUGAGAGCUCACUCUCUCCUAGGUGCUAUUCCAAGUGCUUUACAGACAUUAUUUAAUUUAGUGGUGGCAAGAACCCAUGAACUACUUGUAUUUCUUAAGUCAGUUUUAUCAAGACAUAAUUUAAAUGCAGUAAAAUUCACUCUUUAGACGUACAAGAUGAUGAGUUUUUACAAAUGUAUAUAGAGUCAUAUAGCCACACCACAACCAAAAUAUCAAAUAUUUCCAUCACUCCACAAUGUGCCCUUAUGCACCUUUAUAUAGUCAAUCCUGUCACUGCCCCCUACCCCACCCCCUUGCCAUGAACCUCCAAAUAACUACUGAUCUGUUUUAUGGCUGUUUCUAGAAUGUCAUAAAUGGAAUUGUAUAGUAUGUAGCCUUUUGUUCUGGCUUCUUCCACUCAGCCUAAUGCUUUUGAGAUUCAUCCAUGUUGUGAAUUACUUACUUUCACAAUCCCACUUUAUAUAUGAGGAAACUAAAUCCCAGGCUAGUUAAGUGACUCCUUCAAGCUGAAAAGUAAUGGAGUCAGAACGCAAACCCAGCCAGACUGAUUCUAGUGUCUGCACUUUUGUUCAACUCCCUACAUCUCUGUACGUGCAGCAGGGCUCCUGGCCCAAGCCUACCCCUUGUCAUAACAUGCUGAAUGGACUGGUCUUGGCUAAAUGCUUCAUUUGGAUGUUUCCCACACUGUGCAAUCAUAAUACUAAUUUUACAUGUGGAUGUGAAAUCCUUACAUGUUGUGUAAACAAUAUGAGCUGCUGCUUAUUUAUUUUUUUUUUUUUCCAUUUUCAGGAUUGAUCCAGAAUAUGUUCCAGCAAAAACUACAGCAGAGUAACUUUGACAAGAAAAAUGUUCACUUGCUACCUAAGGAGAGUCUCUGUCUCCUGACCUCUGAAUUUCGAAAUCCUCAGCUCUGGCUGCCACGCAGUGGGAACCGAAUGAGUAUGUACUGAAUGGCGAAUCCUAGUUCAGUCACUUGACUAGCUGGGUGACCUUGAGCAAGUAACUUAGCUUCUUGAAGCCUCAGUCUCCUUAUCUAUAAAAUGGGACUCAAAGGCUGAGUCGAGUAUUAAAUGAAAUAAUACACGUAAAGCACAGUGCCAAAAAUCUGGUAAUAACUCCAUCAGUAUAAGGCCACCUUAUUUGCCUUCUUUCACAAUUAUCACCAGAAUUGAAUUAAAAUUCAGAUGUGAUCAUGUCUUGAAAUGUAGAAAGAGUUAUGAAAAUGUAAGACUUACUAAGUUCACUUAUCGAACAUUUUUUGACCACCUACUAUGUGCUAUGCCUUGGACUAGGCUAGAGAUACAACAGUAAACAUCUUGACUAACGGAGAUUAUGCUGCUAUCUUGAAAUUUUGCCUGUUCCCAAAAGCCCCCAGCAUAUUAAUUUUGUUAAAUAUAUAUUCCCUUAUUAUAUAUAUAAAAC
rnacentral:lncRNA from 10 species